rnacentral:lncRNA from 10 species
UAGGGCUUGCUUUCCUGAUAUUGAAUCUCUUAAUUUUAGUGUCUGAAGAUGCUGAGAAAUUUCAAAAUCAUCAAAUUCUGGUCCAUUUUUGUUUAACAGUUCAAGUCUCAAUUUAUCCCUUUCAUAUUGAAUUUUAUUAUAAGCAGCAAGAAGAACCAGGCUGUACACAAAGCGUAGUGCCAGCAUCUGCUUCUGGAGAGGACCUCAGGAAGCUUACAAUCAUGGUGGAAGGCAAAGAGGAGGAGCCUGCGUGUCACAUGGUGAGAGAAGGAGCAAGAGAGAGAGGAGGAGGUGCCAGCCUCCUUUAAAGAACCAGCUCUUGUCUGAACUAACAGAGUGAGAAUGUACUCAUUACCAUCGUGAGGGCACCAAGGCAUUCAUGAGGGAUCCACCCACAUGACCCAAACAGUUCCCACUAGGCACCACCUCUAACACUGGGGAUCACAUUUCAAAAUUAGAUUUGGAGGAAACAUGCUUCUGAACCAUAUCACCAGCAGAAGAAUCUCUCACUCUAGUCUGCUAAUAUGGAGUCUUACAUAACAUAGUAUACUCAUGGGAGUGACAUCCCAUCCCCAAGUCAUAUUCUGUUGACUAGAAGCACAUUGUAGGUUCUGUCCAUACUCACGAAGAGGGGAUUGUACAAGGGCAUGGAUCAUUAGGGAUCAUUAGAAUAUGUCUGCCACAUAUCCUUUAGUAUGUCUCUGUUUUUAAAUGAAACUUAUUGAGGUUUUCUUUGUAACUUAAUGUAUGGUCAAUUUUGUGAAUGUUCCAUGUACACUUGAAAAAAAUUACAUUCUCUAUUGUUGUAUUUGGGAGCUUAAUAUACAUUUUAAUCUAUAUUUUACUAAUUAUUUUGUUUAGAUCUUCUAUAUCCUUACUAUUUUUUUUGUCUAUUUGACCUGCUUUUAACUGAGAAUGGUUAAUGUAUCCUAUUGUUAAUGUUUUUCUGACCAUUUCUCCCUG